rnacentral:rRNA from 1 species
GGUGAACGCUGGCGGUGGGCCUAAUACAUGCAAGUCGAACGGACCGACGGUAAGAGUUUCCCUUUACGGGUGGCGGCGGGCGGAUGGGUGAGAAUUAAAUAGGAUCCUCAUUUUACUGGGGGGAAAACGGGGGAAAGUUUCUGAUACUACAGAAUAUGACUAACGGGAAAAGCCGGUGGUUCUCGGGACCUUUGCUAUUGCAUAAAGCCGGUGCCGGAUUAGCUAGUUGGCGGGGUAAAGGCCCACCAAGGCAACGAUCCGUAGCCGGACUGAGAGGGUGAUCAGCCACACUGGAACUGAGACACGGUCCAGACUCCUACGGGAGGCAGCAGUGGGGAAUAUUGGACAAUGGGCGAAAGCCUGAUCCAGCCAUACCGCGUGGGUGAAGAAGGCCUUCGGGUUGUAAAGCCCUUUUGUUGGGAAAGAAAAGCAGCAGGUUAAUACCCCGCUGUUCUGACGGUACCCAAAGAAUAAGCACCGGCUAACUUCGUG